rnacentral:snRNA from 1 species
GUGUGUUGUCAUUACACAACUCAC